rnacentral:snRNA from 1 species
AAAAUAUUACAUUAACCAUAGCCAAUGAGGUACAUCCGAGGCACAAUUAUUGCUAGUUGAAAACUUUUCCCAAUACCCCGCUGUGACAACUUGAAAUAUAGUCGGCAUUGGCAAUUUUUGACAGUCUCUUCGGAUA